UAUAGCUACUGAGCACCGCUGCUCCAGGUAGGAGCAUGAAUAGUGCUUCUUUCAACACAACCUGUGGCAAGUUCAAUGGAGCUGUGAGUUCAAGAUCAUGCUCUGUGAGAGGUGCCCUGAGUACAGCUCCUCUGAGCUGCUGGGGAAGUCCUAAGUCAAGUGCUAUAAAUCACAGUGCUGUUCAACCUUGGCCACACAUAAGAACCACCUGGGGAAGUUUUCAACCCAUGCUCCCCAACCCCAGGCCCAGCCCUCCCCCCCUCCCCCGACCAAUUAAAUCCGAGCUUGCGGGAUGAGAACACAGGUGUCUGCGUUUCAAGGCUCCCGAGGUGAUCUCAGUAUGUGCUGCCGGUGUGAGGCACAGGACUGUAAAACUGAGCACUUUCUCUGAGCCAGAGCUGGUAUUGAAUGUAGAGACACAGAGAUGAGCAAAGGUCCCAGAAGGGAGCGGACUGCACAGUAAGUGCGGAAACUGGCUAUCAUGGCUGUGGGACUGCCAAGUCUAAAAUCCACAAGGCAGGGCUGGAAACAAGCAGGAGUCGGUGCUACAGGCUUGAGAAGGCAUUUCUUCUUCCCCAGGAAACCCCAGUUUUUGCUCUUAAGGCCUUCAACUGAUUGGAUAAGGCCCACCCACACUACAAGAGGAGGCGAAUGGGACCUUGAAUUGUAAUCUUGGAAGAAGCUGCUGCAAGACACACAUCUGAGCGGUCCUAGCUAAACUUCUUGGCACUACUGCCCCACUCCAGACCCAAAGAUCAGGGAGCAGGACAGGCCCCAGAGAGAGACCAGACUUGAGAUUUUCUUCUGAGAGCACCAAAAGAGUGAGGAUUAUCUUGGAAUUGCUGUAGAAUUCUGGUGGCAGAAUCACAGGCUCUCCAAGCUGAAAGGUCACUUAGAUGUUCCCCCACCCUCUGAAAUUCAUGAGAAUGUCACGUAUCACAGAACACUCCACCAGAAGGGUUUUUAAACAAAGUCUGGCAGUCGAAAAACUCAAGAGGACUGUUGGAGAUCCGACAAAAGCAACAUGACGUAAAUCUCUGGGCAAGGAGGCAGAAGCCUUGAUCACAUGAUGGCUCGGCUGCUGAUUUACCACUUGACCUUGAACAAAUCUUUCCUGGACGACCUUGAGCAAGCUUGCUCUCCAGGCACUGGUUUUCCCACCUGAAAACGAGGAGUGGGCAACUUGACUUGGAAAGUCUUCUCUGGUUGUUGUGACUCCCCGCCUCCCGAGUCUGGUAUCUAACAUGUUCUAGCUCCAUGGCCUUGGACGUAUCACUUAACCUCCUUAACCUCUGUUUCAUUAUCUGCAAAAUGGGGGAAUCAUAAUCCCUUCCUUGCUCGUCUUGUAUACUUGCUGUGGGGAUGGAAUGAGAGGUGUGAGGUUACCCUGGGUGAAGUACAAAGUGCUAUUCACAUCUAAUGUAUUAUUGCAAGGUGAAAUAUCAUUGUAUGAUGUAUCUAGGGUAUCUGAAGCUGCACAAGCCCCUACAAGACCCAAUUUGUCCCCAAUUCACAGGGGACAAAGGGCACGGGGGUUAAAGGCUCUGGAGCCAGACUACCUGGGUUCGUGGCUUACCUCUGCCAAGUUUCCUCAUGAGUGAAAUGGAAUAAUAAUAGCUCAUGUGAAGCCCAGGGCAGAGCCUGGCGUGUGGCAUGGGCUCCAUCCACGUCGGUGAUUAUCGUGAUCAUUCUAUCAUGAAGCAAAGGAGGCAGGGUGGGGCCAUGAGAGGACCGGUGGCUUUUGAAUACACCAGACCCAGCUGGGUUCAAGUCUCAGUUCUACCAUUACCAGGUGAAUCAUACACGUGGCCACAUUCUACAUCCACUGUCUUCUUUUUUGCUCUCCUCUGAUGGCUCCUGGGUCCAGUGCUUGUCCAUUUUCCCUCUCUUUUGGGGCUGGACACUUGGUUACCCACGUUGAUUGAUUGAUUCAUGGACUGCUUGAUCCAGAAGAGAUGCCUGGAAAAUAUUGGAAUUCACUAGCAUGAAAGGCUCCUCUGUAUUUUAAUGUGUGGAUAAUUUGAAAGAUGUCUUUAAUCCUUUCUGGAAGUAUCUGCUAUAAAAUGGCAUAGAUGGACUAAAUACCAGUGCCCUUGCUUUGGGCUUGAAUUCUGUUUCUGUCUGUCUAUCCAUCAACUCUUUCUUUUACAACCACACUACUUGUAUCAUAUCAAUCAAAGUUCUGAUUGAAUGUAAUAAUGUGGACCUAAUUCAUAUGAAAGAGAAGACAAAAUAUAAUAAAUGCAGCAUUUGGUGGUCAAAUCUUUAUAGAAAAGCCUUUGUGGAGAAAGAUUGGGAACUACUCACUUGUUCUAAAUGUUAGGGUUUAACCAGUGAGUAAGUCGGAAGCCCGGAUUAUUCAAAGUUAUCCAGAGAGGGAAAAACCAAGCUUACGUUAAGUUCAUAGAAUGAAAUAACAGUUGUCAGAAGGAACUUAGAGACCCUCGAUAUUUGCUCAGGGCCAUCACACCCGGUGCAUUAACCCACCAUCGCAGUCACCUGUCGAUCGAGGAGUCUGUCCCUCCAAUCCCACCUGCCAGCUCUGGACCAGACAUUUUUUGAGCCCAGAGGCUGUCUUACUCAUCUUCACGGUGCCUCUCUCUCUCUCUCUCUGCUGCCCACCUCCUCUCUCUCUCACACAGUGCCCGCCUGCAGCAUGUUUCCCGAAAAGGCUGCUGAAUCUUCAAAUGUGAGUAAAGCACCACUUUAACAGAUGGGGAGCCCGCAUUUUGGAGGAGAGAAGAGGGCCCCACCUACGGUUCCGCAGCAAGUCUGGGGGGAGGGCCAGGAGGAUCCCCUGUGUCUCCGUGUAGUCGCUCUUCUACCCUCCUGAACUCCAAGAGGGGGACAGGCUCUUGCCUUCUCUCAUUUCCUCACAAAAGCCACAGGUAAAGGCGUUUAUGGCCUGGCAGCUAACCAAGACCAUGGUUCUUCAAUAGGUCACGGUCUGACCCCACCAAAUGUUGUUGCCGUUGUCUUUAAUUUUUAAAUGGUGUUAACAGUCAUGCCUUCUACUAUAAUUUGGAAACUCUCCGGCACCUCAUGCCGGGGACAUUAUAAACUGACCCCCAAGUUCAGGCAAUGAAACACAGACCCACCUAGCUGGUCACCUGGCUUCAAGGUGAAAGUAACUUUACUAUAGUUAUUUCCAAAAAUUGUAUUACAAUAAUAAUUACUCAUAUUUGUGAAAUGCAUUUCUUCUUUGUUCAAGCACGUUCAUAUACCCCCAGCUUAUCUAGCAUUAGUGCUGUGCUUUUCAAGUAGGUGAUUUUACUGUGUAGGAAUUACAUAUGCCUCAAUGAAGCUUUUUUUUUUUUUUUUUUU